GAUGAACGCUGGCGGCGUGCCUAAUACAUGCAAGUCGAGCGAACGGACGAGAAGCUUGCUUCUCUGAUGUUAGCGGCGGACGGGUGAGUAGCACGUGGAUAACCUACCUAUAAGACUGGGAUAACUUCGGGAAACCGGAGCUAAUACCGGAUAAUAUUUUGAACCGCAUGGUUCAAAAGUGAAAGACGGUCUUGCUGUCACUUAUAGAUGGAUCCGCGCUGCAUUAGCUAGUUGGUAAGGUAACGGCUUACCAAGGCAACGAUGCAUAGCCGACCUGAGAGGGUGAUCGGCCACACUGGAACUGAGACACGGUCCAGACUCCUACGGGAGGCAGCAGUAGGGAAUCUUCCGCAAUGGGCGAAAGCCCGACGGAGCAACGCCGCGUGAGUGAUGAAGGUCUUCGGAUCGUAAAACUCUGUUAUUAGGGAAGAACAUAUGUGUAAGUAACUGUGCACAUCUUGACGGUACCUAAUCAGAAAGCCACGGCUAACUACGUGCCAGCAGCCGCGGUAAUACGUAGGUGGCAAGCGUUAUCCGGAAUUAUUGGGCGUAAAGCGCGCGUAGGCGGUUUUUUAAGUCUGAUGUGAAAGCCCACGGCUCAACCGUGGAGGGUCAUUGGAAACUGGAAAACUUGGGUGCAGAAGAGGAAAGUGGAAUUCCAUGUGUAGCGGUGAAAUGCGCAGAGAUAUGGAGGAACACCAGUGGCGAAGGCGACUUUCUGGUCUGUAACUGACGCUGAUGUGCGAAAGCGUGGGGAUCAAACAGGAUUAGAUACCCUGGUAGUCCACGCCGUAAACGAUGAGUGCUAAGUGUUAGGGGGUUUCCGCCCCUUAGUGCUGCAGCUAACGCAUUAAGCACUCCGCCUGGGGAGUACGACCGCAAGGUUGAAACUCAAAGGAAUUGACGGGGACCCGCACAAGCGGUGGAGCAUGUGGUUUAAUUCGAAGCAACGCGAAGAACCUUACCAAAUCUUGACAUCCUUUGACAACUCUAGAGAUAGAGCCUUCCCCUUCGGGGGACAAAGUGACAGGUGGUGCAUGGUUGUCGUCAGCUCGUGUCGUGAGAUGUUGGGUUAAGUCCCGCAACGAGCGCAACCCUUAAGCUUAGUUGCCAUCAUUAAGUUGGGCACUCUAAGUUGACUGCCGGUGACAAACCGGAGGAAGGUGGGGAUGACGUCAAAUCAUCAUGCCCCUUAUGAUUUGGGCUACACACGUGCUACAAUGGACAAUACAAAGGGCAGCGAAACCGCGAGGUCAAGCAAAUCCCAUAAAGUUGUUCUCAGUUCGGAUUGUAGUCUGCAACUCGACUACAUGAAGCUGGAAUCGCUAGUAAUCGUAGAUCAGCAUGCUACGGUGAAUACGUUCCCGGGUCU
rnacentral:rRNA from 1 species